rnacentral:rRNA from 1 species
GGGGACGACGUCAAGUCAUCAUGGCCCUUACGAGUAGGGCUACACACGUGCUACAAUGGCGCAUACAGAGGGCGGCCAACUUGCGAAAGUGAGCGAAUCCCAAAAAGUGCGUCGUAGUCCGGAUUGGAGUCUGCAACUCGACUCCAUGAAGUCGGAAUCGCUAGUAAUCGUGGAUCAGAAUGCCACGGUGAAUACGUUCCCGGGCCUUGUACAC